rnacentral:rRNA from 1 species
AGUGAACGCUGGCGGUAGGCCUAACACAUGCAAGUCGAACGGCAGCACAGUAAGAGCUUGCUCUUACGGGUGGCGAGUGGCGGACGGGUGAGGAAUACAUCGGAAUCUACUUUUUCGUGGGGGAUAACGUAGGGAAACUUACGCUAAUACCGCAUACGACCUACGGGUGAAAGCAUGGGAUCUUCGGACCUUGCGCGAUUGAAUGAGCCGAUGUCGGAUUAGCUAGUUGGCGGGGUAAAGGCCCACCAAGGCGACGAUCCGUAGCUGGUCUGAGAGGAUGAUCAGCCACACUGGAACUGAGACACGGUCCAGACUACUACGGGAGGCAGCAGUGGGGAAUAUUGGACAAUGGGCGCAAGCCUGAUCCAGCCAUACCGCGUGGGUGAAGAAGGCCUUCGGGUUGUAAAGCCCUUUUGUUGGGAAAGAAAAGCAGCAGGUUAAUACCCCGCUGUUCUGACGGUACCCAAAGAAUAAGCACCGGCUAACUUCGUG